rnacentral:rRNA from 1 species
UACGGAGGGUGCAAGCGUUAUCCGGAUUCACUGGGUUUAAAGGGUGCGUAGGUGGGUCUGUAAGUCAGUGGUGAAAUCUCCAAGCUUAACUUGGAACUGCCGUUGAUACUAUAGAUCUUGAAUGCUGUGGAGGUGAGCGGAAUAUGUCAUGUAGCGGUGAAAUGCUUAGAUAUGACAUAGAACACGAUAGCGAAGGCAGCUUGCUACACGAGUAUUGACACUUGAGGCACGAAAGCGUGGGGGAUCAAACAGG